GUGGGGAAUUUUGGACAAUGGGCGCAAGCCUGAUCCAGCAAUGCCGCGUGCAGGAAGAAGGCCUUCGGGUUGUAAACUGCUUUUGUACGGAACGAAAAGGCUCUGGUUAAUACCUGGGGCUCAUGACGGUACCGUAAGAAUAAGCACCGGCUAACUACGUGCCAGCAGCCGCGGUAAUACGUAGGGUGCAAGCGUUAAUCGGAAUUACUAGGCGUAAAGCGUGCGCAGGCGGUUUUGUAAGACAGACGUGAAAUCCCCGGGCUCAACCUGGGAAUGGCGUUUGUGACUGCAAAGCUGGAGUGCGGCAGAGGGGGAUGGAAUUCCGCGUGUAGCAGUGAAAUGCGUAGAUAUGCGGAGGAACACCGAUGGCGAAGGCAAUCCCCUGGGCCUGCACUGACGCUCAUGCACGAAAGCGUGGGGAGCAAACAGGAUUAGAAACCCUUGUAGUCC
rnacentral:rRNA from 1 species